rnacentral:rRNA from 1 species
AGGGCACCACCAGGAGUGGAGCCUGCGGCUUAAUUUGACUCAACACGGGAAAACUCACCCGGCCCGGACACUGGAAGGAUUGACAGAUUGAGAGCUCUUUCUUGAUUCAGUGGGUGGUGGUGCAUGGCCGUUCUUAGUUGGUGGAGUGAUUUGUCUGGUUAAUUCCGAUAACGAGCGAGACUCUAGCCUACUAAAUAGAUCGUCGGCUUACAAACGCCGACGAGACUUCUUAGAGGGACAGGCGGCGAUUCAGCCGCACGAAACAGAGCAAUAACAGGUCUGUGAUGCCCUUAGAUGUCCGGGGCCGCACGCGCGCUACACUGAAGUGAUCAGCGUGCUUUUUCAACCUACUCUGUCAAGAGUGGGGAACCCAAUGAACCUUCUUCGUGAUUGGGAUAGGGGAUUGUAAUUAUUCCCCUUGAACGAGGAAUUCCCAGUAAGCGCGAGUCAUAAGCUCGCGUUGAUUACGUCCCUGCCCUUUGUACACACCGCCCGUCGCUGCUACCGAUUGAAUGUUUU